rnacentral:rRNA from 1 species
CCUACGGGAGGCAGCAGUGGGGAAUUUUGGACAAUGGGCGAAAGCCUGAUCCAGCAAUGCCGCGUGCAGGAUGAAGGCCCUCGGGUUGUAAACUGCUUUUGUACGGAACGAAAAGCCUGGGGCCAAUACCCCCGGGUCAUGACGGUACCGUAAGAAUAAGCACCGGCUAACUACGUGCCAGCAGCCGCGGUAAU